AGGAUGUAGAAAAAAGGAGCCAUUAAAUAGGCAAAAGAGGUGAUUCGGAUGUGCGACAAGUGGCAAAAUUGGAGGAGCCAAGUGAAGCAAAGUGGGUGGCCAUUGGGCCCACUUGACAUGGCUAAUCUUGCCCGACGAGACAAGGCAACCGCGCCGUCAGCUGUUGGUUGUCAACAUGCAGGAGCGCACUGUGCGCGCUCAGGCUGCCUGCCAUGCGCACAGGUACAGC
rnacentral:lncRNA from 1 species